UAGGACGAAUUUAAUUUUGGUUCCGAUUGAACGUUUUCAGUAGUUUUAAGACAUGCAAAUCAUUGUUCUAAAAUUUCUCUCAAAAUUUAAUGUGCAUAACAUCAAAUUCUGACAAAAUUAGGAAAUAAGGUGUAAAGGUGAGUAAUGAUAAAUUAGAUACCUUAUAGACUCUCUAAAUGGGGGAUAAAUAUUACUCUAUUAUAAUUCUCCAUCUUAAGUUUUAACUAAAGAUGUGAUUUAAUAAUUGCUUUAUUAAUUUGAAAAAUAAUGAGGUUCUUUCUAGUUUAACACAAAAAUAAACUUUUAUAAUUACAAAAUUAUAUUAAAGAAAGUGAAAAUAUUGAUAAAAUAGCUAUUUUAUUAAAGAAAGGAAUUUUUCUGCUAUAAGAUUCGAUUUAUUUUGUUUAGGUAGUUGGUAGGGUAAAGGCCUACCAAGCCUACGAUCAAUAGCCAAGUUUGACAGAACAAAUGGCCACAUUGGGAAUGAAAAGCCCCAAGUAGUUUUAACUACCAGCAGUCGAGAAUAUUAGUCAAUGCUCGAAAGAGUGAACUAGCUAACUGAAAUCACAUGACUCAUUCUUAUAGGUGGUGAAUGUGAUAAGGUGUAGGGAAAAAAAUGAUAUUACCUCACUAAAAGUGUUGUCCAAAUCUGGUGCCAGAAGACUCGGUAAGACCAGAAACGCAAACGUUAGUCAUCUUAAUCAGGCGUAAAGGGUAUGUAGGCAGCUUUGAAAAUUUUAAUUUUAAAAAUUUUUUUUUUCUUUUCUAGAAAAAAGAGUAGCUCUAUUUUGUACAUAAAUUAAAUAGUAAAAAUAAAAUCAAUUAAAGCUAGAAUCUAAUAGAGGAAAAACCAAAUAAUACUUAGAGUAGGGAUGAUAUCCAUAGAUACUAAGGGGAAUACUAAGGGCGAAAGCUUUUUUUCUACUAAAGAUUGACGCUGAGAAACGAAGGUGAGAAUAGGAAAUAGGAUUAGAUACCCAGAUACCUCUCACUGUCAACGAUGAAUGGUGGUUGUUAGUUUUAAUAAAAACUGAUGGCGAUGUUAACACGAUAACCAUUCCGCCUUGCGAGUACGGUUGCAAAACUGAAACCAAAAAAAUUAGUCGGUCUCGAAGCAAACGAAGUGAAGCAUGUUAUUUAAUACGACAAUACGCGUAUAACCUUACCAGACCUUGCAUAUCUAGCUCUUUUUAUUUUUUUCAUUUAAUUUGAGUGAGUAUAUUUUAAACUUUUUUUUAAAAUAAUACGCAGAUACAGGUGUUGCAUGGCUGUCGUCAGUCCGUGUUGUGAAGAGUGAGGUUAACUCCACUAACGGACGCAAUCCCUGUUGUUAAUUUAUACUUAACAAUUUAUGAUUCUGAUAGAGUUUCAUUUGGGGCUAAGACAAGCCGUUAUGGCCCUAAUGGUCUGGGCUAUAGACGUGCCACAUAAACUUUUACAAAGUGAUGCAAAACUAUACCUAUUUAAAAUUAUUUACUUAAAAUUUAUUUUUAAGUACAUAAUUUAUUAUUUAUUUUUAAAUAAAAAAGGUAAUAAGGAAUAGCUAAUCAUUAAAAAAAGUUCAUUUUUAAAAUGAUUGAACGGAUUGUCGCCUGAAAUUCGGCGACAUGAAGAAGGAAUUUCGAGUAAUCGUUGAUCACGACGCAACGGUGAAGAUAGCAUUCGUGAUGAACUAACUGUCUGUCGCUGGGAAGAAGCUUAACUUGGGGGAAACUGCCACGAAAAUAAAACUUUAAUAUAAGUUUGCCUUUCUUUAAUUUUGUUAUUUUAGAAAUUUAAAUUAUUAAUUUAAUUUUUUCCUAGUCCCUUAUCCAAAAGAUGAGGAGCCAUAGGUAGGUAGUUUUUAUUUAUAUAUUUUUAUUUAAGUAUAAAAAAUAAUAAUUUUUGCAUUUAAAAAACACUUAUAUUAAGAUAUUUAGUAUCUGUUAACCCAUUUAAGUAACAUCUCAAAAGUCAUAGCAAGGUAGCUGUACUGGAAAGUGCUGCUGGAAAAUAAAAAAUAUUGAAUUUAACCCC